GGACAUCCCAAAGAAGCCUGAAUGCUUGUUUUUGGAUGAGCUUGCUGACUACUGUAACUCAUUCAUUAACCAGCUUUUCAGGUAGGGAACC
ensembl:miRNA gga-mir-1632 gga-mir-1632